rnacentral:rRNA from 1 species
UACGGGGGGGGCAAGCGUUGUUCGGAAUUACUGGGCGUAAAGAGCUCGUAGGUGGUUUGUCGCGUUGUUCGUGAAAACUCACAACUCAAUUGUGGGCGUGCGGGCGAUACGGGCAGACUGGAGUACUGCAGGGGAGACUGGAAUUCCUGGUGUAGCGGUGGAAUGCGCAGAUAUCAGGAGGAACACCGGUGGCGAAGGCGGGUCUCUGGGCAGUAACUGACGCUGAGGAGCGAAAGCGUGGGGAGCGAACAGG